UCUCAGGAAAGAACCUAGGAGUGGAGGUUAAGCUUGGAGGGUUCCCAUUUGCCUCUUGAAACAGCCAUCCGUUAUCAAGAUUAAUGAGCAUGACUAGGGUUGAACUGGGAACCAGCAGCCAGAGACAGCUCAUGCAUCCAGUUGUGUGAGAGUCAACAGAGUCAGGCCUAUCAGCAUAUUUAAAAGGAACAACCUUGCUGUUGUAUGGAUAACUAAUGGGAGGGAGGGAAAUAUUUUAAAAUGCCAAGGCCACUGUACCAGUUUAAAUUAUUUUAUAAUUUUCUUUAGCAGUAUUCACCUGGUUGAGUACCAGAAUGGAGAGGAAGAAUGCUGGAGGCAGAUGAAGAUGGAAGAGACUGCGCAUCUCUAAACCAUCCUUCCCCCGCUCUGCUGUGUGUGUCACAGGCGGCUGUACCCUGCAAACUCCUUCAUUGACUGCCUUGCCAAGUGGCUUCUGCUAGUUCCAGCCAAAGGAAGGUUCUGGUGGGCAGGGGGGAAGAAGGAGACACUCGGAUUCUUUCUUGCCAUUCUUCUUUGUGAAAGGGUUAGUGUCUCUGGCAGUGGUUCUAGAAAGCCCCAUCCUCUCUAGUGUUCUCACAGGGAAAACUCUACUUUUAUUCUAGCUCCUCUGGAAUGGUGCUACUCCUAAGAUCUCUUAACAACAUCCUUUUUAAAAAUUUAAUGUAUUCUUUUAAAGAUUUUAUUUAUUUAUUCAUGAGAGACACACACAGAGAGGCAGAGACGUAGG
rnacentral:lncRNA from 1 species